UUUCCCAAGUAAGUCAGAGGUUGAAUGAGUAUCCCAAAGGGAGAGAAACAACCGCCAUCAAUGAUAACCUCAGGGUGCAAGUCUAUCCCUACUGGGCUUGCUCCAGGGAAUCAGCCUCUUUGAACUGACCAAGAUGAAAACCACAAAACAGGCCACAGCAGGCAGGAAGGGGUUGGCCGGUCUAAUAAUCUCAUAAUAAUGAGUCUGCACAAUCCAAACUUGAUAAAACCUUGAAUAAUUGAGGACAGACUGCAAUUAUGAGAAUUACUCCUAUCUGGACAGCACUUCCAGUCUGCAGAGCUCUACCAUGGGCAUCAUUUCAUCUGGGGGACCCGGUAAAUAUGUGUUGAAGGACCGACCUUGCAACAGUCUCUUGGAUCCUGGUUUACCUGCUGAGGAAGCCGAGGCUCCGAGAGGUGAAUGAAAUUGCUAGACAAAGCAGCAGGACCCUUUGUCAGAAGGUAAUCCUGUGUGGAACCGCAGUUGAUAAAACCGAGCAAGGAGGAGCUGCCCUCGCAGCAGAGGGCCCCACCCAGCAGCCAUCACCUCUUCCCUUCUCGCCUUUGCUCUCUCCGUCAUCUCUUUCUGCAACCCUACGGUUCCUCAGAAUCCAGUUUGAAAAACCACUGUCCUUGUUCAACUCCUGUCUCUCCUUAUUCCACGUGAAAAAACAGAGAUCUGGAGAAGCUAAGUGAUGUGUCCAGUGUCAAAAAAGCCAACGAGUGAUAGAGGCAGAACCAAGAAUCAGGCUUCCUGUUGUGCAGGUCAAGGACUUUGGCUGGGCCAGGGCAGCCCUCCCUGCUCUGAACUAUACUCUGCAGAUGGUCUGCAGAUGAUGUAGAUAUUAUCACGUACAGAUCCAGAGAAAUGAAGAUAAAGGAAAAUGCCGUGACGGCCCCUCUGGUCCCCCUGGCCUGGCAGGGGAAGGAGAAACACCGGAGAAGGGUACAUCGCUCUGCCUAGGAGGACGUUUGAGCUCUGCUCCCCGGAACCCCGCGCCCGAGGGAGGCUGGAUAAGGAAAUCGAGGCUCAGACCUUUAGCAACUGUCCCUGUCCCAAGAUCAUGGGUCCAUUAACAACAGAACCAGCUUUCAGUCUUAGCUCCGCCAAACACCUGCCGCCUUCAGUACAUGCUGACGCCAGCCCAGCUUCAAUUCUGCCCAGAAAUCUAUUCUUCAGAGGACUAAAAAGAACCAAGAAAAGGAA